rnacentral:rRNA from 1 species
AUGAACGCUAGCGACAGGCUUAACACAUGCAAGUCGAGGGGCAGCACAGGUAGCAAUACCGGGUGGCGACCGGCGCACGGGUGAGUAACGCGUAUGCAACUUACCUAUCAGAGGGGGAUAACCCGGCGAAAGUCGGACUAAUACCGCAUGAAGCAGGGGCCCCGCAUGGGGAUAUUUGCUAAAGAUUUAUCGCUGAUAGAUAGGCAUGCGUUCCAUUAGGCAGUUGGCGGGGUAACGGCCCACCAAACCGACGAUGGAUAGGGGUUCUGAGAGGAAGGUCCCCCACAUUGGUACUGAGACACGGACCAAACUCCUACGGGAGGCAGCAGUGAGGAAUAUUGGUCAAUGGGCGCGAGCCUGAACCAGCCAAGUCGCGUGAGGGAUGAAGGUUCUAUGGAUCGUAAACCUCUUUUAUAAGGGAAUAAAGUGCGGGACGUGUCCCGUUUUGUAUGUACCUUAUGAAUAAGGAUCGGCUAACUCCGUGCCAGCAGCCGCGGUAAUACGGAGGAUCCGAGCGUUAUCCGGAUUUAUUGGGUUUAAAGGGUGCGUAGGCGGCCUUUUAAGUCAGCGGUGAAAGUCUGUGGCUCAACCAUAGAAUUGCCGUUGAAACUGGGGGGCUUGAGUAUGUUUGAGGCAGGCGGAAUGCGUGGUGUAGCGGUGAAAUGCUUAGAUAUCACGCAGAACCCCGAUUGCGAAGGCAGCCUGCCAAGCCAUGACUGACGCUGAUGCACGAAAGCGUGGGGAUCAAACAGGAUUAGAUACCCUGGUAGUCCACGCAGUAAACGAUGAUCACUAGCUGUUUGCGAUACAGUGUAAGCGGCACAGCGAAAGCGUUAAGUGAUCCACCUGGGGAGUACGCCGGCAACGGUGAAACUCAAAGGAAUUGACGGGGGCCCGCACAAGCGGAGGAACAUGUGGUUUAAUUCGAUGAUACGCGAGGAACCUUACCCGGGCUUAAAUUGCAUUUGAAUAAUCAAGAAAUUGGUUAGUCGUAAGACAAAUGUGAAGGUGCUGCAUGGUUGUCGUCAGCUCGUGCCGUGAGGUGUCGGCUUAAGUGCCAUAACGAGCGCAACCCUUGCCACUAGUUACUAACAGGUAAAGCUGAGGACUCUGGUGGGACUGCCAGCGUAAGCUGCGAGGAAGGCGGGGAUGACGUCAAAUCAGCACGGCCCUUACAUCCGGGGCGACACACGUGUUACAAUGGCGUGGACAAAGGGAAGCCACCUGGCGACAGGGAGCGAAUCCCCAAACCACGUCUCAGUUCGGAUCGGAGUCUGCAACCCGACUCCGUGAAGCUGGAUUCGCUAGUAAUCGCGCAUCAGCCAUGGCGCGGUGAAUACGUUCCCGGGCCUUGUACACACCGCCCGUCAAGCCAUGGGAGCCGGGGGUACCUGAAGUCCGUAACCGAAAGGAUCGGCCUAGGGUAAAACUGGUGACUGGGGCU